GUGGAUGUAGUUCAAAUGGUAGAACACCUGUAUGUGGAACAGUAAGUUCCUUGUUCAAGUCAAGGUAUCCUCC
rnacentral:tRNA from 1 species